rnacentral:rRNA from 1 species
AACGCGAAGAACCUUACCUGGUCUUGACAUCCACAGAACUUUCCAGAGAUGGAUUGGUGCCUUCGGGAACCGUGAGACAGGUGCUGCAUGGCUGUCGUCAGCUCGUGUUGUGAAAUGUUGGGUUAAGUCCCGCAACGAGCGCAACCCUUAUCCUUUGUUGCCAGCGGUCCGGCCGGGAACUCAAAGGAGACUGCCAGUGAUAAACUGGAGGAAGGUGGGGAUGACGUCAAGUCAUCAUGGCCCUUACGACCAGGGCUACACACGUGCUACAAUGGCGCAUACAAAGAGAAGCGACCUCGCGAGAGCAAGCGGACCUCAUAAAGUGCGUCGUAGUCCGGAUUGGAGUCUGCAACUCGACUCCAUGAAGUCGGAAUCGCUAGUAAUCGUGGAUCAGAAUGCCACGGUGAAUACGUUCCCGGGUCUUGUACACACCG